GACGAACGCUGGCGGCGUGCCUAAUACAUGCAAGUCGAACGGUCUUUUCUAUGGAAGCUUGCUUCCACUGAGAAGAUAGUGGCGAACGGGUGAGUAACACGUGGGUAACCUGCCCAUAAGAGGGGGAUAACAUCCGGAAACGGGUGCUAAUACCGCAUAGUUUUCUUGAUCGCAUGAUUGAGAAAGGAAAGACGGCCUCUGUGCUGUCGCUUAUGGAUGGACCCGCGGCGUAUUAGUUAGUUGGUGAGGUAACGGCUCACCAAGACGAUGAUACGUAGCCGACCUGAGAGGGUGAUCGGCCACAUUGGGACUGAGACACGGCCCAAACUCCUACGGGAGGCAGCAGUAGGGAAUCUUCCGCAAUGGACGAAAGUCUGACGGAGCAACGCCGCGUGAGUGAAGAAGGUUUUCGGAUCGUAAAACUCUGUUGUCAGAGAAGAACAAGUUGGAGGGUAACUGCUCCAGCCUUGACGGUAUCUGACCAGAAAGCCACGGCUAACUACGUGCCAGCAGCCGCCGUAAUAC
rnacentral:rRNA from 1 species